rnacentral:rRNA from 1 species
GAACGUACGCUGGCGGCACGCCUAACACAUGCAAGUCGAACGAAGUAGCAAUACUUAGUGGCAGACGGGUGAGUAACAUGUAGGUAUCUGCCCUUUGGCCUGGAAUAACACGAGGAAACUUGUGCUAAUACCGGAUAAGUCUUUACAGAGAAAGCUUUAUGCACCAUUGGAUGAGCCUGCACUUGAUUAGUUUGUUGGUGGGGUAAUGGCCUACCAAGACUGUGAUCAAUAGCUGAUUUGAGAGGAUGAUCAGCCACAUUGGGACUGAGACACGGCCCAAACUCCUACGGGAGGCAGCAGUGGGGAAUCUUGCACAAUGGAGGAAACUCUGAUGCAGCGAUGCCGCGUGAGUGAAGAAGGCCUUUGGGUUGUAAAGCUCUUUCGUCGGGGAAGAAAAUGACUGUACCCGAAUAAGAAGGUCCGGCUAACUUCGUGCCAGCAGCCGCGGUAAUACGAAGGGACCUAGCGUAGUUCGGAAUUACUGGGCUUAAAGAGUUCGUAGGUGGUUGAAAAAGUUAGUGGUGAAAUCCCAGAGCUUAACUCUGGAACUGCCAUUAAAACUUUUCAGCUAGAGUAUGAUAGAGGAAAGCAGAAUUUCUAGUGUAGAGGUGAAAUUCGUAGAUAUUAGAAAGAAUACCAAUUGCGAAGGCAGCUUUCUGGAUCAUUACUGACACUGAGGAACGAAAGCAUGGGUAGCGAAGAGGAUUAGAUACCCUCGUAGUCCAUGCCGUAAACGAUGUGUGUUAGACGUUGGAAAUUUAUUUUCAGUGUCGCAGCGAAAGCGAUAAACACACCGCCUGGGGAGUACGACCGCAAGGUUAAAACUCAAAUGAAUUGACGGGGACCCGCACAAGUAGUGGAGCAUGUGGUUUAAUUCGAAGAUACGCGCAGAACCUUACCAACACUUGACAUGUUCGUCGCGACUCUAAGAGAUUAGAGUUUUCGGUUCGGCCGGACGAAACACAGGUGCUGCAUGGCUGUCGUCAGCUCGUGUCGUGAGAUGUUGGGUUAAGUCCCGCAACGAGCGCAACCCUCACUUUUAGUUGCCAUCAUUAAGUUGGGCACUCUGAAAGAACUGCCAGUGAUAAGCUGGAGGAAGGUGGGGAUGACGUCAAGUCCUCAUGGCCCUUACGUGUUGGGCUACACACGUGCUACAAUGGUAUCUACAACAGGAAGCAAGACUGCGAAGUUAAGCAAAUCCCUAAAAGAUACCUCAGUUCGGAUUGCACUCUGCAACUCGAGUGCAUGAAGCUGGAAUUACUAGUAAUCGUGGAUCAGCGUGCCACGGUGAAUGCGUUCCCGGGUCUUGUACACACCGC